GGGUACCAUGGCUGAGGUGGAGAGUCUGGCAGCCUUUCUCAGAGAAGAGGGUACCUGUGGGCAGGGCCUCUGAGAUGCUGCUGCCACCCUUCCUGAUGCCCAGUGCUAAGAGUGGAACAGUCAUCCCUUCAUGCCUUGUUUCUCAUAGGUACCCUGGGGGUGAGCUUAUCCUCCUGCAGCGUCCCUGGUUCCAAACCCACCUUCGAGCUCUCAGCCGACGAGGUGGAGCUGGGCCUGGGGAUCCACGGGGAAGCUGGUGUGCGCCGGAUAAAGGUAGGUGGUCCCUCUGGCACAGGCCGCCCUAAGGCCAAGGCCCCCCAGAUGCAGCUCAUUCCUGGCUCCCUCUGACAGAUGGCAACCGCCGAUGAGAUUGUGAAACUCAUGCUCGACCACAUGACAAACACCACCAACGCGUCCCAUGUGCCUGUGCAGCCCGGCUCCUCAGUUGUGAUGAUGGUCA
rnacentral:lncRNA from 1 species